GAUGAAGAACGCAGCGAAAUGCGAUAAGUAAUGUGAAUUGCAGAAUUCAGUGAAUCAUCGAAUCUUUGAGCGCACAUUGCGCCCCUUGGUAUUCCGAGGGGCAUGCCUGUUCGAGCGUCAUUAUAACCCCUCAAGCUCAGCUUGGUGUUGGGGCCUGCCGCACGGGCAGCCCUUAAAAUCAGUGGCGGUGCCAUCUGGCUCUAAGCGUAGUAAUUCUUCUCGCUAUAGAGUCCCGGUGGAUGCUUGCCAUUAACCCCCAAUUUUCUAUGGUUGACCUCGGAUCAGGUAGGGAUACCCGCUGAACUUAAGCAUAUCAAUAAGCGGAGGA
rnacentral:misc_RNA from 1 species